AUUGAACGCUGGCGGCAUGCUUUACACAUGCAAGUCGAACGGUAACAGGUCUUCGGAUGCUGACGAGUGGCGAACGGGUGAGUAAUGCAUCGGAACGUGCCCAGUCGUGGGGGAUAACGCAGCGAAAGCUGCGCUAAUACCGCAUACGAUCUAUGGAUGAAAGCGGGGGACCGUAAGGCCUCGCGCGAUUGGAGCGGCCGAUGUCAGAUUAGGUAGUUGGUGGGGUAAAGGCCGACCAAGCCAACGAUCUGUAGCUGGUCUGAGAGGACGACCAGCCACACUGGGACUGAGACACGGCCCAGACUCCUACGGGAGGCAGCAGUGGGGAAUUUUGGACAAUGGGCGCAAGCCUGAUCCAGCAAUGCCGCGUGCAGGAAGAAGGCCUUCGGGUUGUAAACUGCUUUUGUACGGAACGAAACGGCUCUCUCUAAUACAGAGGGCUAAUGACGGUACCGUAAGAAUAAGCACCGGCUAACUACGUGCCAGCCGCCGCAGUAA
rnacentral:rRNA from 1 species